rnacentral:rRNA from 1 species
UUCCGGUUGAUCCCGCCGGACCUGACUGCUAUCGGAUUGAUACUAAGCCAUGCGAGUCGUUGUAGCAAUACAAGGCAUACGGCUCAGUAACGCGUAGUCAACCUAACCUAUGGACGGGAAUAACCUCGGGAAACUGAGAAUAAUGCCCGAUAGAACAUUAUGCCUGGAAUGGUUUAUGUUCCAAAUGAUUUAUCGCCAUAGGAUGGGACUGCGGCCUAUCAGUUUGUUGGUGAGGUAAUGGCCCACCAAGACUAUUACAGGUACGGGCUCUGAGAGGAGUAGCCCGGAGAUGGGUACUGAGACACGGACCCAGGCCCUAUGGGGCGCAGCAGGCGAGAAAACUUUGCAAUGUGCGAAAGCACGACAAGGUUAAUCCGAGUGAUUUCUGCUAAAGAGAUCUUUUGUUAGUCCUAGAAACACUAACGAAUAAGGGGUGGGCAAGUUCUGGUGUCAGCCGCCGCGGUAAAACCAGCACCUCAAGUGGUCAGGAUGAUUAUUGGGCCUAAAGCAUCCGUAGCCGGCUCUGUAAGUUUUCGGUUAAAUCUGUACGCUCAACGUACAGGCUGCCGGGAAUACUGCAGAACUAGGGAGUGGGAGAGGUAGACGGUACUCGGUAGGAAGUGGUAAAAUGCCUUGAUCUAUCGAUGACCACCUGUGGCGAAGGCGGUCUACCAGAACACGUCCGACGGUGAGGGAUGAAAGCUGGGGGAGCAAACCGGAUUAGAUACCCGGGUAGUCCCAGCUGUAAACUAUGCAAACUCAGUGAUGCAUUGGCUUGUGGCCAAUGCAGUGCUGCAGGGAAGCCGUUAAGUUUGCCGCCUGGGAAGUACGUACGCAAGUAUGAAACUUAAAGGAAUUGGCGGGGGAGCACCACAAGGGGUGAAGCCUGCGGUUCAAUU